UGCAGUCGAACGAUGAUCCCCAGCUUGCUGGGGGGAUUAGUGGCGAACGGGUGAGUAACACGUGAGUAACCUGCCCUUGACUCUGGGAUAAGCGUUGGAAACGACGUCUAAUACCGGAUAUGACUCCUGGCCGCAUGGUCUGGGGGUGGAAAGAUUUUUUGGUCAAGGAUGGACUCGCGGCCUAUCAGGUAGUUGGUGAGGUAAUGGCUCACCAAGCCGACGACGGGUAGCCGGCCUGAGAGGGUGACCGGCCACACUGGGACUGAGACACGGCCCAGACUCCUACGGGAGGCAGCAGUGGGGAAUAUUGCACAAUGGGCGAAAGCCUGAUGCAGCAACGCCGCGUGAGGGACGACGGCCUUCGGGUUGUAAACCUCUUUUAGUAGGGAAGAAGGGAGCUUGCUCUUGACGGUACCUGCAGAAAAAGCACCGGCUAACUACGUGCCAGCAGCCGCGGUAAUACGUAGGGUGCAAGCGUUGUCCGGAAUUAUUGGGCGUAAAGAGCUCGUAGGCGGUUUGUCGCGUCUGCUGUGAAAUCUGGGGGCUCAACCCCCAGCCUGCAGUGGGUACGGGCAGACUAGAGUGCGGUAGGGGAGAUUGGAAUUCCUGGUGUAGCGGUGGAAUGCGCAGAUAUCAGGAGGAACACCGAUGGCGAAGGCAGAUCUCUGGGCCGUAACUGACGCUGAGGAGCGAAAGCAUGGGGAGCGAACAGGAUUAGAUACCCUGGUAGUCCAUGCCGUAAACGUUGGGAACUAGAUGUAGGGGCCAUUCCACGGUUUCUGUGUCGCAGCUAACGCAUUAAGUUCCCCGCCUGGGGAGUACGGCCGCAAGGCUAAAACUCAAAGGAAUUGACGGGGGCCCGCACAAGCGGCGGAGCAUGCGGAUUAAUUCGAUGCAACGCGAAGAACCUUACCAAGGCUUGACAUAUACCGGAAACGUCCAGAGAUGGUCGCCCCGCAAGGUCGGUAUACAGGUGGUGCAUGGUUGUCGUCAGCUCGUGUCGUGAGAUGUUGGGUUAAGUCCCGCAACGAG
rnacentral:rRNA from 1 species